GAUGAACGCUGGCGGCGUGCCUAAUACAUGCCAGUCGAGCGAACGGACGAGAAGCUUGCUUCUCUGAUGUUAGCGGCGGACGGGUGAGUAACACGUGGAUAACCUACCUAUAAGACUGGGAUAACUUCGGGAAACCGGAGCUAAUACCGGAUGAUAUUUUGAACCGCAUGGUUCAAAAGUGAAAGACGGUCUUGCUGUCACUUAUAGAUGGAUCCGCGCUGCAUUAGCUAGUUGGUAAGGUAACGGCUUACCAAGGCAACGAUGCAUAGCCGACCUGAGAGGGUGAUCGGCCACACUGGAACUGAGACACGGUCCAGACUCCUACGGGAGGCAGCAGUAGGGAAUCUUCCGCAAUGGGCGAAAGCCUGACGGAGCAACGCCGCGUGAGUGAUGAAGGUCUUCGGAUCGUAAAACUCUGUUAUUAGGGAAGAACAUAUGUGUAAGUAACUGUGCACAUCUUGACGGUACCUAAUCAGAAAGCCACGGCUAACUAUGUG
rnacentral:rRNA from 1 species